rnacentral:rRNA from 1 species
UAAGGGCGCACGGUGGAUGCCUUGGCACUAGAAGCCGAUGAAGGACGUUACUAACGACGAUAUGCUUUGGGGAGCUGUAAGUAAGCUUUGAUCCAGAGAUUUCCGAAUGGGGAAACCCAGCAUGAGUUAUGUCAUGUUAUCGAUAUGUGAAUACAUAGCAUAUCAGAAGGCACACCCGGAGAACUGAAACAUCUUAGUACCCGGAGGA